rnacentral:misc_RNA from 1 species
CAGAGUUCUUUGCAACUCCCAACCCUGUGAACCAUACCAAUUUUUGUUGUUGCUUCUGGCAGGCAGGCCUCCGGGCCUCCUGCCAGCGGCAGCCUGCUCCAACCUUCUUUCGUAUCUUACCGUCAGAGCUUCUAAAAAAAUAAAUCA